UUACCCGUGACUGUGGGACACAGGCGUUGAACGUUGAGGUUAUCGGGUACCAACUGGAUGAUGACGACGAUGAGACUGUCCAUAAGCUACCAAUUCAUUUCUGUGUGUUGACACACAGCACAAAUGGUGGGAGAAGCCAGUUUGAACCAGUGGGCUUGGAGAGGCGUUUUGAGCCCAAACAGCUGAAUUGAACUAGCUAGCCAGAGUUCAGAAGUAAAUGGGUAAGAUUUUUAAAAGAGAAGAAAGAUAUACCUGAAAAAAAAUGCAGGAAAGGGGAUGACGAGAUUUCCUCACAGAAAGGCCAACAAGCUCAAAAGAAAUAAAACACAGAGCCUGAGAAAAGAUCUAUGGAUGUAAAGAAAAUGCAACUCAAGGCCACCCACACCCUGAUCCAUGGCUUCUAUGUGAACCAACACAAGGAACCCCAAAGAAAUAAAAAGCAAACAUAACAAGGUCUAACAUGGUGUAGACAACCUGCAACACUGCCCUACUGGUAGCAAAAUUAAAUGGUACUGCCAUCCUGGAAAACAGCGUGAUACCUC
rnacentral:lncRNA from 1 species